rnacentral:rRNA from 1 species
CUCCAUGAAGUCGGAAUCGCUAGUAAUCGUGGAUCAGAAUGCCACGGUGAAUACGUUCCCGGGCCUUGUACACACCGCCCGUCACACCAUGGGAGUGGGCUGCAAAAGAAGUAGGUAGUUUAACCUUUGGGGGGACGCUUACCACUUUGUGGUUCAUGACUGGGGUGAAGUCGUAACAAGGUAGCGCUAGGGGAACCUGGCGCUGGAUCACCUCCUUAAACGAUGAU